UUAUGAUGUAGGAGGUGCUAAAGGGUACAUGUCGUGGAAGGUAGGUAGUGAGAUUUCAAAAUAAUAAUAAUAAUAAUAAUAAUAAUAAUAAUAAUAUAUGCGUGUCGCACACUGGGAGAAUAAAAAGAUAUGACAGCUGAGGCGGCGUAUGCACGGCCGCGCACGAGGCUACCUGAUCGCGCACUGAUCGCACAUCAGGUACGUUUUUUCUUUCUCUUUUUUUUUUUUUUAAAAAAAUUGUAGCUUCCCUCUUAAAACCCCCAAUUCUAAAAUCCCCCUUUCACUCACCUCCGCAAAACAACCCUAACCCAUCCCCCUUCUCUCAUAUCCUCUCUUAAGAAUAUAAUAAUACCAUCAAUGAUAGUGCAAUAUUAUCUCUUCUCCCCUCACCACAUCCUCACAAGUCUUCCCUUAAGUAAGUGAGAUGUUUCUCCUUCUUUCCUUAGUUUUUCUUUUUCUUGUGUUGUAGUAGAUUUUUGUUGGUGUUAUCUUUCUAUUUAUUCUCAGUUCCAUGUGGGCUGGAAAUUGAAUUUUAUCAUGGAUGGUCUAGGUGUGACAUUGGUUGCGUCAUUAGUAUUUAAAACUGUUUAGUGCGGGGUGGGGGUGGUCAGAAGAGAUGUGCAUAUCAGGUGUUCGUAUAAAUGUCCCAAAGAGUUUGAGAGUGUAAUCUUGUGACCAAGUGUAAAGGUGAAGUCUGAGUAGCCUCUCUUGGAUCACUAAUUCUGCCAUUAGCUAAUAUUUGGUGUUUGUUAAAGGCAUUAUGGAACCAUAUAAAAAAUGAAAAAUCAUUUGUGCCCCCUCCUCAAGUGGUCACGCUGGCUCGUCCCACUCACGAAAUUCUGCAUAUGCUCGUACGUAUGAUAAUAGCAAGUUUGUCUCCUGGGAAGCCGAGGAAUGAAUCCAAAGAAAGAAAGAGAAGCCCAUACCGUAGAGGGGAAUUGAUAUGGGGUCCCUAAAAAUGACUGUCCCAAUCAGGCGCUGCUUGGGGAUAUUUUUUUAAAACCCUGAAGAGGACAACUUAAUGGUUGUUUGGGAAUUUCAGGCAAACUGUCCGGAACAUGACAAUCAUGUCUGCAUAGCUUGAAAGAAAAGUGUAUAUUUUUCCAAAGAGACCAUUCGACGGGUCUGCCAUUUGACAAUGUUUGGAGAAAAUCAUAAAGUAGAAGACCAUAUGACACGUAAAGAAGAGUACUGACCAUGUAGCAGCUGUUCUUUAGAACAUUUAUGUACCCAACAAGGAGGUAGUGUGGAUAAAGUAGGGGUAGAAUUUUCAUUCGUCAUCGCUUACUUUUGAAGGGAAUUUUUGGCUCCACAUUAUAAAUACCCACAUGUUGCCUUCCGGAAACACCACUGAGGUGAAUGGUCCCCGGGCCGCAUUGAUCUAGUGUUUUAUCAAUGGUCAUAAUUUUGAUAUGGCUAAGGUUAUUCAGGAUGAGAUUUUCAUUCGUUCUCCUAUAUAGAGGUAUGGGUUCUUUUUCCCAUUCUUAGUUACUCGGUUAUGCUAUGAGGCACAUGUAACGAAAAUCAAAGAUAUGGUGGAAAAAUCAAACAUGAAAAAAAAAAAUCGGGCUGAUAAAGUAAUAAUUGGGAAGGACGCUGCUGGGCCUAUUGAGGCAGAUAGCAAGGAGUCUGAUGCGCCAAAAGAUGGCAAUGAUGUGCAAGAUGAGGAUAUUGUUAUCUCUCCACCAUAUGAGCAGGUCCCCGCAACCCCACCGCAUGAGGAGGAUGUUGGGAAAACCUCAUGUGGCAGAUGAGAAACAAGAAUGAGUGUCUAAGACAGCAGAUGAAGGGGAUGCGUACCUAUGCCACAGACUUGGGAGCUCGAGUGGACGCCCUUGCUACACAAAAUGCCAAUUCUGAGAGGAAGAUCAUGGCAUGGCUACGUGCACGUGGAUGGGCUUGCCAUUAGACCCUGUCAUUGUCUUCGACACGAACUGACUCUACUAGGGAAGUUUUCUUCACCUUGUAUUUUCAUUGUGUGACAUGGGGGCAUGCCACCAUUUAGAGUGUGGUAUGGAAGCAAUGUGUGUGUUGUAUGUAUAUGUAUAUGAUUUUUCCUCUUGGUAGUUAUAGUUUUCUUUGUCUUAUCUAGCUCCAGUAAGUAGAGACAAUCAAAAAGAAAAAGGUAAAACCAUAAAAUUUUAAAAUUUUUUACUUUUCCCGAUGAUGGAUAUCAUUCAACGGGUUUCUUGAGGGACCAAAGUCGAAAGAAAAAGAUAAAAAAAUUAUUAGGUAGUGUAUUAAUUCCCCCUUGAUUUUUCUUUGUGUCACGAUUUUUUUCCGAUGAUUUUGUUUAGCUGGGUGUAGUUAGAUUUUUGUUUUAGGAGUAGGAAAACCUUCAGCUGCAAUUUGAAAUGAAAGCAAUAUCUCUCAACUUCGUUAUGCCUUGAGAAUAGUCAGUGCUUUAAUUGUGAUGCUUAGGCUUAGUUUUUGACUUUUAUAGAAGUACCUCAAAUUGUAUGAUUUGAACUUUACUUAAUUGUUUUAACUAGAGUGUCUUGAUAAAAUCCAAUCUUGAAUGAGUUAUGUGACAUGUGUGCUUGAGGUUUUGGAUAUUCUAUGCAUUGAAUUUGAUGUCUAGAACUUGUUCCGUAUGUUUGCAAAGCGAAAUAGUAGUUUUGUUCAGUCUUGGAAGUGAUAUAGGCGUUUCUUUGUUGAUCCAGCUAUAUGUUACUAACUACCUAAUUGUAUGUAUCUUAAUUAACCCAUUUAAGCUUGUAAUCAUAUUUUCUCUGGCGACCACAUUACUAACCUUUCCCAUUUGUUUGAAUUAGCCGUCUAUUUGAACCUUGUACCUCUCUUGAGCACAUAAAUUAUAUGAACUCUGUGAAAUAUGAAGUGUGAUGUGAUUGAUUUGGCUUUUGAAUGGAGUUAAUAAAAUAAGGAUACAGGUAUAUUAUUUUGAAAAAGUAAGAGCCACUUGAAUUGAAUGAGAAGAGAAAAGGAAAAAAAAAGUAGUUGUAGUGUUGUGCAAAAUAUUCAUUGAUGGUGGUAGCUAUUGAUGUAAUUGUGCUUAAAUAAUUUAGAAGUUGAUGUAUAUCGAUGCAAAUGUGGAGUUAUGGUUUGACAUAAGUGUGGGGUUUUGAAUGUUAAAGUGUAUGUAUUAAAGUACUUAGGGAGGUGUAUUCACUUCUAUAUCUAACAAUAUUCUACCCGUUCCGCGGCCUAUAUUACAACCAAUUAAAGUCCUACUUGAUCCUUGUUUGAAUGAACUCAAUUAGUAGAAUAGUACAUUACGGACAAGCCUACGGUUCAUCUUUUGUAGCAUACGAAUGUUAGUUCUGAGGGUGAGUGAAUUCUUUCUAUCUUGAAUUUUUAAUUGUUUCUUAAAUUUUAUGGUGUAUGGAACUACUCUUUAUUAUUGUGUGAGGGCACUUUAUUCUUGAAUGAAAUAUAAUUUUUGACCUCUAUGUGAAAGAAAGUGAGCUGGUUAUAGAUAAUGUAUGGUGUUAUUGAGUGAAAAUUUGAGGUUAAGAUGUCGCGAUAUUGUAUUUAAUUUGUUUUAAAGAGUUUUGGUGUGAUAAAUCUUGAGUGUUCCUGAACAAGGGCGUAUUUAGGUGAAGUGUAGUUGGAUUGCUCGCAGAAAAACAAAAUACUUGAUCCAAUUCACCUAAUACGAAAGUUUGUUUGAAUUUGGAAAUUGAAAUUGUCUUUUUGUUCUUCUAAUACUCUUGCUAUGAAUAUGUUCUCCGUUAUGAAUUGACUUUAUUUUGGGUUUUACUCUAUGUUAAGUGCCCAAAUUUAGUGAAUAUGUUAUUAAUUGAAUUGUAAAGCUCAUUAUAGUCUUACUUUAAUCUAAAGAGAAGUUUGCAGGUAUUUCAUUGUGUCAUCUUAUUCGGAUUGUUUCUAUGCCACUUCUAGGUAAUUAAAAGAGCUAAGAGAGUUAUCAAUUAACCAUGUUCAGAGAAUAACCGAGAGGUGUUCUUCGAAAGAGCAUUCCUUCAAAACUUUAGUGCAUAUGUUCAUAGGACCUGUUAUUAGGCUAAUUAAAGGAAUCACAUUUAUUUGGAAGAAGGAUUCGAAUCCGCGAAGUAGCCUAAUCAUCUAUUAAAAUCAAAGGAAUCAAUAGAAGUUAAGAAUGAAUUUAACACAGAGUUACCUGGAACAAUAGUUGAUCACAUAUCUUUUGACAACCCUUACUUCUCGCACUGAUAUUCCAUCGUUGUUACUUAUCAUUGGGGUAUCAUUAGUUUCUUACAAUUGAUAAUCUUAGUUUUAUUUGUAGUCGAUAAUAACAUCAAUCAAAAGGUUUAUUAUCCUGGAUAGUAUUGAGGUGAAGAUUUAUUAGAACAUAAUUGAAACCAAUCCAUAUGGAGACGAUUUCAUAUUAUACUAUCUUAGGCUAGCAAGUCCGCAUUUUAUACAACGAUUCUGUGCUCGUCAACUAAUCACCGGGCGUAGCACAAACAUCAGUACCAUCAAACCCAUCAGCAGUACCAGAAUCACCAUGAGCAGGUGAGUUAUUAGGUUUAGUAGUCUUAACAUGAGCAGUAGUUCUGCGAGGAGGAGGAGCUCCUUUGUUGAACUUGAAAUUGGGAGGAAAACCAUGUAGUUUAUAAUAAUUUCUAUGGUGUGCUCAAGUUUCUUGCGAUACUUGCGAGCGACAAUAGGUCUAGGAGUUUCAAAGGAAGCCUUGGAAGGGAAGGGGGUUUGGAUGUGCCAGCAUUGAAUGAAGUAGAAGUAGUUGAACAAUGAGAUGCAGAGGAGACUUGUAUCGUCUUUUCAUCCGACAAAAGGAUGUUAUAGGUGUUUUCAAUAGAAGAGAGAAGCUUCAUCAUUAAUAUAUUUCUCCUAAUUUGCAUGUAAGUGUCUUGAGGCUCAUGAAGAACUGAUAUACUUUAUACUCCUCAUCUUCAGCAGCCUUACUCCUACAAGUACAAACCCCACUCGAUAAGAUGCUAUCUCUUCCCACAAUUGCUUAAUUUUGUUAAAGUAAGAUUCUAUGUCUAAGGAACCAUGGAAAUGUGAGCUAAUUCCUUUUUUGAAUUCAGAUACCCUAGCACCGUCUUCCUUUCCAUAUCUAUCUUCCAAUUCUGACCAUAUAUAUUUAGGAUAUUCAGAAUACUCUACACUUCGAGAUAUUUCUUAGAAAAGAAAUUUGUCAACCUUGAGACGACAAAAUCAUUACAACGAUGUCAUUGUCUGACAAGAGGAGAACUAUUUGGAGGUCUCACCGAAUUCCAUUGAUAAAAUCAAGUUUGUUCCUAAUCAACAGGGCAACUAGGACAUUCUUUCUCUAACUAUCAUAACCAUUUCCAUCAAAUGGAGUAGAAACAAGAGAAGUUCCUAACAUACAAAGGAUGACUAGGGUAAGUAUGGCCAUCCUCAUGAAAUGUGGUGCAAUAAACAGGAGGCUCACAAGAGACAAUAGUAGGUAUGUGAGUAGGUGCAAGACUAGAAGGUACAAAAGUCUCAUUUGCAAUUUUUAAAGUAAUUGAAUGAAAAUCAACAUAAAACAAUAGGCAUGCAAGAAGAUUUGUGAGAAGGAGCGAGAUUACUCCCCCUCUUUUGCAACCGAAAAGAGAACAAUCCUCCAAAUUGACCAAAGAUUUACUAAUUGAAGCUCCGAGGAACCCCUAGCUGGAAGGAAAAUUCCUACUUUGAGAAGAACCCACGAAAUCCUCCAAAAUUGGUGUUUUGCUUUUCAGAAGCAAACCAUAAAUAGCCUCAGUAGAUAGAAAUUGGAAGAAACACUUCGAAUUUGGCAGAGACCCUAAAAUCACAGAUGCAUAGAUCACUGUCGCGAUUAGAAAAUAUCGACGAAAUUCUAGGGUAGGAUCGAUCGAAAGCGGGGAGAGAAAUUUACCAGAAUCUAUGCUCUGAUAUCAUGUAAAUUUGUAGAUAUCAUGUGAAAUUGGAAGAAUGAAAUUUAGUGUUCAUGUUUGGUUUGAGAGGAAACUUCGAGAUGUUUUCUAUAUUUAAAGUGUUCUGUCCAAUUGAAGAUUGGGCCCAAUGUAUUUAUAUGACCAGGAACUUAAUACUCUAUGAUACUCUAAAUAUAGCUACCGGAUAAAUUACGACAUAUCACCCAAUAUAAUAGGUCUAACAUUAGCCUAUACCCUCUAACAUAUUCUAACAUAACCUAAAUCUUGUUCUCUCAGUGCUGAUAGUGAAUUAGGGCGUGUUUGCUACGAAGGAAAAUAUUUUCAUAAAAAAAUAUUUUCUUGGCAAAUAUUUUCUUAGAACGUAAUUAAUUUUCUUACUUAUUUUUGAUGUUUGGUUAAUAAGCAAAAAAUAUUGUACCAAGAAUAGUUAACUAUAACACAAAACCUAACCAUCCGAAUAAAAAAUAUUUGUUAUUUUUAAAACACAUAAAAACAAAUAGUAAUAUUUAAAGACCAGCCUCGUCAUUGCAGUCAAUCACCCCUAAUUGGCUAACUUGGGCCAUUUGGGUCCUAAAACCUUUGAGUAAUUCUUGGGGUCCGAAUCUAAUUAUCGGAUGUUAAUUAAACUAAUUUUUAAAAUUAAAUUUGAUUAAUAGUCUUGGGUUCCAUUUUGAUUAUUGGAUGUAAAUUAAACUAAUUCUUAAAAUUAAAUUAAAAUUAGGAGGGAGUCGAGCGUAUUUCUACGUUUUUUCCGAGGCAGGACUAGGCUGAUAAUAUUUCACCUUAGGUUGUUAGUGGUUUAUGCAGCUUUCAUACUAUUUUUUAUGGCAUUAGUACUGGUUAUUAUUAUUGUUUUAUAUUUAUUUUUUAUUUUUUACAAUGAUGAUAUUAUUUUAUUUUUCCGGCUUCUGUUGAUGUUACUGGCUUAUUUCUAUUAUUUAUUUUCUUCUUCUUGAGCCGUGGGUCUUUUGGAAAUAGCUUCUCUAUUCCUCUGGGGCAGGGGGUAAGGUCUACAACACUAUACUUUCUUCGGACCCUACUUGUGGAAUUUUUACUGAAUUACUGUUGUUGUUAUUGUAAAUUUGAUUGAGUUAAUUUAUUACUAUCUUUUAUACUGAAGCUACAUGAACUAGAACUUGCAAUAUCAUUUAAAAUGGUGAAACAUACAUAAGAGAAUGUUCAAAGUUCACUUAAUUUGAAUCUCAAAAAAACAGAAGUAGAAUAACUAUUUGAAUGGCACGAGGAAGAUCCUUGUCAACUAAUCCCUAAUUCUAUAAAUUAUUUGUCCUGGGACAAUUCAAAAGCCUAGUUCUCAGUUCCUCAAACAGAUAGAUGGAGUCGAGCACUCAAGCCAUGAGAUAUACCCUUAUCUACCCAAAAGUCGUUGAGCAAUUCUGUAUUACAAUGUAAGUAACCUACUUUUACGCGAGUAUCAAAGGUCAAUUUUACAGCUUGAAUCCGUAACCUAUGAAUCAAAUGAAAAUAAUUUUAUUGUUGCUCCGAAGCUGCCUUCAGUGUAAAACAACAUAUGUACUACAAAUUGAUCCAUAAAAUGCUAUUACGGUACUAGGAGUAAUAAUAUUAGAUUCAUAUAGUAGCGCAGAAUUACUGAGUUGUUGUCAUACAGUAGCGCAGAACCGAAAGCCCCCCAAGCCCUAGCAUUUGUUACAAUAACUUCUGCAUUGCAAUUACUUUAUUUACUCAUCACCGUGCACUUCUAUUUGAUCAAAAACAAGAAAAAUGAAGUGCAUCUUUUUACACAUUAAGCAACACGAAAUAGCAGAAGUAUAGUACAUAUACAAUUCAAAUCAUUUUCCCUCACCAACGCCCUCUUCUUCCUCUGUUCGGUCUUCCAAUUCUCAUUCUUCCUCUCCUUUGGUUUCUCAAAGUAUGCACCAACAUUUCAGUUCUCAAUCUUUUAGCUUCUUGAAUUUCACCUACAUCAACCUUUUCUUCCUCAAUCUCGUCCUUCUCGUCGUCUUCUGGGGUGCUCGGACUCUUCUCGUCCUUGAUUCGAUUAGCUUCAUCGGCUUUUCGCUUGAGCAAAUUAACCACUCCCUCAAGAGCAACAUCAGCAUCCUCACUUCUCAUGAGUUCCUCUGCAAUUUCUGCAGGGGUUGCCUCUACAUUCUUGAUUAGGCCUUCAAUUUCCUUGAACAGUCUAUGGUCACGAACGCCUAUGUAGUUAAAAGCCAGAAUCUUGAAACUCUGAUUAGUACAAUAGGACAUAUGAAUAUGCAUAUCCAUUCGACCAGGUCUCAAUAGUGCUGGAUCUAAUUUCUCCUUGCGGUUGGUUGUGAAUACAAUAAUUCUUUCGUCCCCACAAUUGGACCACAAUCCAUCAAUGAAGUUCAACAAACCAGAUAACGUUAACUGCAGUAGAAACACAAAUCAACAUUGAGAAAUUGACUUAUCUCAUAAAUUUAACAAAUAAAACACUAGAUUACACAUAUAUGUCCCUUCGUCCCAAUUUAUGGAAUCAUACAAACAUGUACAACUUAUUUUAAACCACAAGCCUCAAAAUCUUUCUUUCUUUCUUAAACUCUGUGUUAACGGUCAAACCAUAUCACAUAAAUUAGUACGAAAGAAAUACUAUUUAACAUUUCAAAAAGAUAAAAAGAUAAAGGGGAAAUGAAAUCAGACCUUAGUGUCAGCGGGUUGAUGCCCAAGAUUUCGAUCGUGCAUUUCCACACUACAAUCAAUAUCUUCAAUCACAAUAAUAGAUCGGUUCGAAGUGGAGAUCAAAAUCCUUCUUAAUUCCGAGUUAGAAUACAAACUAGUAAGUUCCAAAUCAUAAAUAUCAAACUUCAAGUAAUUGGCCAUGGCAGCAAUCAAGCUAGAUUUCCCAGUUCCUGGAGGUCCAUAUAAAAGAUACCCUCUUUUCCAAGCCUUACCAACUUUUUUAUAAAAAUCUCUCCUUUUCACAAAUCUAUCAAGAUCCUCAACUAUCAUCUUUUUCAUAUCAGGUUCCAUAGCCAAAGUAUCAAAAGUAGCAGGAUGGUCUAAGUUUAUUGAACCCCAAACCCCACCACCCCCACCUCCAUACCCAUACCCAUCAUCAUCACUACCACAAGGACAAUCCCUUGUAUACAAUUUCACUGCUCUAUCAUUAUCUUGAAUUUCCUUAGCCUUAGUCAACACAAAAGGUAAGUACUCAUUCAACACACUUACUUUAAACUUCUUAUUAAAACUGAGCUCAAAGAAUCUUUUCUCUGGGGUAUAACUUCGGUCUUGAGGCUCAACAGAAACCAAUUUCCAUUUCAACUGUACGACGCCGUAUAAAUCACUGAUCUCUUCAUCCUUCUCUAUGCUAACGUUGAUGUUUUUCUGUUUAGGGGUUUUGUGUGCCCGGACUCGGUCAGCAUUAGGGCCGAUCUUUGUACGGAGGUAAAUUUCGGCGGCUUCGUACACUUGGUUUCUGGUCAUACCACACUGUUCGUCGACGAUGAUAGUGAGCUGGC
rnacentral:lncRNA from 1 species